rnacentral:rRNA from 1 species
ACGAACGCUGGCGGCGUGCUUAACACAUGCAAGUCGAACGGAAAGGCCCUGCUUUUGUGGGGUGCUCGAGUGGCGAACGGGUGAGUAACACGUGAGUAACCUGCCCUUGACUUUGGGAUAACUUCAGGAAACUGGGGCUAAUACCGGAUAGGAGCCCCUGCUGCAUGGUGGGGGUUGGAAAGUUUCGGCGGUUGGGGAUGGGCUCGCGGCUUAUCAGCUUGUUGGUGGGGUAGUGGCUUACCAAGGCUUUGACGGGUAGCCGGCCUGAGAGGGUGACCGGCCACAUUGGGACUGAGAUACGGCCCAGACUCCUACGGGAGGCAGCAGUGGGGAAUAUUGCACAAUGGGCGGAAGCCUGAUGCAGCAACGCCGCGUGCGGGAUGACGGCCUUCGGGUUGUAAACCGCUUUCGCCUGUGACGAAGCGUGAGUGACGGUAAUGGGUAAAGAAGCACCGGCUAACUACGUG